GACGAACGCUGGCGGCGUGCCUAAUACAUGCAAGUAGAACGCUGAAGGAGGAGCUUGCUCUUCUGGAUGAGUUGCGAACGGGUGAGUAACGCGUAGGUAACCUGCCUGGUAGCGGGGGAUAACUAUUGGAAACGAUAGCUAAUACCGCAUAACAGUAGAUAUCGCAUGAUAGCUGCUUGAAAGGUGCAAAUGCACCACUACCAGAUGGACCUGCGUUGUAUUAGCUAGUUGGUGAGGUAACGGCUCACCAAGGCAACGAUACAUAGCCGACCUGAGAGGGUGAUCGGCCACACUGGGACUGAGACACGGCCCAGACUCCUACGGGAGGCAGCAGUAGGGAAUCUUCGGCAAUGGACGGAAGUCUGACCGAGCAACGCCGCGUGAGUGAAGAAGGUUUUCGGAUCGUAAAGCUCUGUUGUAAGAGAAGAACGAGUGUGAGAGUGGAAAGUUCACACUGUGACGUAUCUACCA
rnacentral:rRNA from 1 species